AUUGAACGCUGGCGGCAGGCCUAACACAUGCAAGUCGAACGGUAACAGGAAGAAGCUUGCUUCUUUGCUGACGAGUGGCGGACGGGUGAGUCAUGUCUGGGAAACUGCCUGAUGGAGGGGGAUAACUACUGGAAACGGUAGCUAAUACCGCAUAACGUCGCAAGCCCAGAGAGGGGGACCUUCGGGCCUCUUGCCAUCGGAUGUGCCCAGCUGGUAUUAGCUAGUAGGUGGGGUAACGGCUCCCCUAGGCGACCAUCCCUAGCUGGUCUGAGAGGAUGACCAGCCACACGGGAACUGAGACACGGUCCAGACUCCUACGGGAGGCAGCAGUGGGGAAUAUUGCACAAUGGGCGCAAGCCUGAUGCAGCGAUGCCGCGUGUAUGAAGAAGGCCUUCGGGUUGUAAAGUACUUUCAGCGGGGAGGAAGGGAGUAAAGUUAAUACCUUUGCUCAUUGACGUUACCCGCAGAAGAAGCACCGGCUAACUCCGUG
rnacentral:rRNA from 1 species